GAGUGAACGCUGGCGGUAGGCCUACCACAUGCAAGUCGAACGGCAGCACAGUAAGAGCUUGCUCUUACGGGUGGCGAGUGGCGGACGGGUGAAGAAUACAUCGGAAUCUACUUUUUCGUGGGGGAUAACGUAGGGAAACUUACGCUAAUACCGCAUACGACCUACGGGUGAAAGCAGGGGAUCUUCGGACCUUGCGCGAUUGAAUGAGCCGAUGUCGGAUUAGCUAGUUGGCGGGGUAAAGGCCCACCAAGGCGACGAUCCGUAGCUGGUCUGAGAGGAUGAUCAGCCACACUGGAACUGAGACACGGUCCAGACUCCUACGGGAGGCAGCAGUGGGGAAUAUUGGACAAUGGGCGCAAGCCUGAUCCAGCCAUACCGCGUGGGUGAAGAAGGCCUUCGGGUUGUAAAGCCCUUUUGUUGGGAAAGAAAAGCAGCAGGUUAAUACCCCGCUGUUCUGACGGUACCCAAAGAAUAAGCACCGGCUAACUUCGUG
rnacentral:rRNA from 1 species